UACGUAGGGCGCGAGCGUUGUCCGGAAUUAUUGGGCGUAAAGCGCGCGUAGGCGGCUCGAUAAGUCUGCUGUGAAAGUCCAGGGCUCAACCCUGGAAUGCCGGUGGAUACUGUCGAGCUCGAGUCCGGAAGAGGCGAGUGGAAUUCCUGGUGUAGCGGUGAAAUGCGCAGAUAUCAGGAGGAACACCAAUGGCGAAGGCAGCUCGCUGGGACGUGACUGACGCUGAGACGCGAAAGCGUGGGGAGCAAACAGG
rnacentral:rRNA from 1 species